GCCGGUAUAGCUCAGCAGGUAGAGCAACUGACUUGUAAUCAGUAGGUCCCGGGUUCGAUUCCUGGUGCCGGCA
rfam:Pseudomonas sp. FeS53a scaffold11.1, whole genome shotgun sequence.